rnacentral:rRNA from 1 species
CCGAACCGACUGAUGUUGAAAAAUCAGCGGAUGAGCUGUGGUUAGGGGUGAAAUGCCAAUCGAACCAGGAGCUAGCUGGUUCUCCCCGAAAUGUGUUUAGGCGCAGCGGUAAUGAUUAAAUCUGGGGGGUAAAGCACUGUUUCGGUGCGGGCUGGGAGACCGGUACCAAAUCGAGACAAACUCAGAAUACCCAGAGAACACAUUGCCAGUGAGACAGUGGGGGAUAAGCUUCAUUGUCAAGAGGGAAACAGCCCAGACCACCAGCUAAGGUCCCCAAAUCAUCACUAAGUGAUAAAGGAGGUGGGAUUGCAUAGACAACUAGGAGGUUUGCCUAGAAGCAGCCAACCUUAAAAGAGUGCGUAAUAGCUCACUAGUCAAGCGAUCCUGCGCCGAAAAUGAACGGGGCUAAGUGAUGUACCGAAGCUGUGGGAUUAAUCUAGUAUUAAUCGGUAGGGGAGCGUUCCGUAAUAGGUAGAAGCAGUAGCGGCGAGCAGCUGUGGACGAAACGGAAGUGAGAAUGUCGGCUUGAGUAGCGCAAACAUUGGUGAGAAUCCAAUGCCCCGAAACCCUAAGGGUUCCUCCGCCAGGUUCGUCCACGGAGGGUUAGUCGGGUCCUAAGGCGAGGUCGAAGGGCGUAGUCGAUGGACACAGGGUGAAUAAUCCCUGACUACUAUGUGGGAGCAUUGCGAGGGACGCAUGAAAGAUAGCCAUACCCUGAUUGGUUUGGGAGGAGUUUACGAACUCCGCGUGGUGAAGGAUAGUGUCAAGAAAAGCUCGUAAUGUGAUGAAAACAUAGUACCCGUACCCGAAACCGACACAGGUAGGGAGGUUGAGAAUACCAAGGGGCGCGAGAUAACUCUCUCUAAGGAACUCGGCAAAAUGGCCCCGUAACUUCGGGAGAAGGGGUGCCCACCUCAGACGUGGGUCGCAGUGAAGAGAUCCAGGCGACUGUUUACCAAAAACACAGGUCUCCGCCAACUCGAAAGAGGACGUAUGGGGGCUGACGCCUGCCCAGUGCCGGAAGGUU